GCUGGGUGUGGUGGCGCAUGCCUGUAAUCCCAGCUACUCAGGAGGCUGAGGCAGGAGAAUCGCCUGAACCCAGGAGGCAGAGGUUGCAGUGAGCCGAGAUCAUGCCAUUGCACUUCAGCCUGGGCAACAGGGCAAGACUCUGUCUCAA
rnacentral:SRP_RNA from 1 species